CAGCUAUCUAACAGGGAUAAUAUUUAGCUCCGGAGCGUGCCCAGAAACUGCUGCGACCUCAGAGCUAUUAAUACACCGCGUGUGCAAUUAUGGAAGGUCGUUUUUACACGUCUGGUAUCGGGACGACUGUGAAGCACAAGAGACUGCCUCUUGCAAACUGAGAAGGUCAUGUGGCUGAGUGGUUAGCAAAACGUCUUUAGCUUCAGUUUUUGGCUUCGGUGAAACUAAGAUCUGUCAAAGGUGUCAAGAGACAUAGGAAGCUCUUGUCGGAUUCAUGUGGGCAACGUGGCUGGUUAGCGAGGUGCUGCUGCAUUCAGUUAUACAGGUAGUAAACGAACAUGGGAAAAAGUGGCUGACUGUGGAGCGGUUGUCAGACAGCUGGGUUUGAGUGAAGGAGAUCCAGGGUUUAUAUCCCAAGCCAAUCCAGGUGAAGUAGUACCUUCCAGGUCACAUAGUGAAGAUGAGGACAACACCCACACGAGGAGAAGAGUUCACACCUGGGUGUUUGUACCAUUUAGAAUGAAAUCCUCUUUCCACUCAUGGGAGUUUUUUCGUUUUUUUUUCCUCACCAUAAUCUUUUAUCAUUUGCUUCUCAAGGUUUUCUCUUUCGAUUAGCUUCUAGUCGUCUAGUCAUUGGUGUGGCUGUAAAAUCCAGGUCACCGUGAUUUGUCAACUGUAUUUUAAAAAGUGACCCAAACAGGUUUCUGGGAAAUGAAAAGGCGAACCAAUUGCUGUCACUCUGUGGCCAAAGCGGAAAAGUGCAGUUUAGUGAAAAACUCGCAAAAAAAAUAUGUGUUAUUUUACCUUUGUGAAUAAGCGCUUGUAAAUGUACUGACUUGGCAUCAGUUUUCGGGUACUUUGCGCCACCUUGUGGACGCAAAGAAAACCGCAAACGUCUGCGAAAAUGUACGUAAGGAAAAUGUGCGGUAACUUUCUUCGUGUCCACGAGGUGGCAGCAAAGUGAGGGGAGAGUUACCCGGAAUCAGCCGAUUUGACUUCUGCAACUUCCCGGCAUUGAGACAGAUUCACUUUCAUCUAUGAGCACUUUAUAAAAUAGAGUUUUAGUGGGGGCGCUGUGCUGUAGUGCUUUAAACACUGUGUCCUACUAAAUGAGAUCUGUUUAAUUUCCAGUACAUAAACUGAACACUUUUCACCCGACUGCUUCAACAGUGCAAUAUUGCUGCACCGGUGUCGGUACUGUACUGUACUCCGGAUUACCUUUACUGAAGCGAUCUGUGCGGUAAAGGUGUCAGAGACUCUUUCCGGGGCCUCACUCUACUCUCUUCCUUUCUCCCCUAUUGUGUUUUGGAGGGAGGAAAAAAAUAAGACGUAUUGCACCUGU
rnacentral:lncRNA from 1 species